rnacentral:rRNA from 1 species
UAGGGAAUCUUCGGCAAUGGACGGAAGUCUGACCGAGCAACGCCGCGUGAGUGAAGAAGGUUUUCGGAUCGUAAAGCUCUGUUGUAAGAGAAGAACGAGUGUGAGAGUGGAAAGUUCACACUGUGACGGUAUCUUACCAGAAAGGGACGGCUAACUACGUGCCAGCAGCCGCGGUAAUACGUAGGUCCCGAGCGUUGUCCGGAUUUAUUGGGCGUAAAGCGAGCGCAGGCGGUUAGAUAAGUCUGAAGUUAAAGGCUGUGGCUUAACCAUAGUACGCUUUGGAAACUGUUUAACUUGAGUGCAUGAGGGGAGAGUGGAAUUCCAUGUGUAGCGGUGAAAUGCGUAGAUAUAUGGAGGAACACCGGUGGCGAAAGCGGCUCUCUGGCUUGUAACUGACGCUGAGGCUCGAAAGCGUGGGGAGCAAACAGGAUUAGAUACCCUGGUAGUCCACGCCGUAAACGAUGAGUGCUAGGUGUUAGACCCUUUCCGGGGUUUAGUGCCGUAGCUAACGCAUUAAGCACUCCGCCUGGGGAGUACGACCGCAAGGUUG